AGAUGGGCAUGCGUGACAUUAGCUAGUUGGUAAGGUAACGGCUUACCAAGGUUACGAUGUCUAGGGGUUCUGAGAGGAUGAUCCCCCACACUGGUACUGAGACACGGACCAGACUCCUACGGGAGGCAGCAGUGAGGAAUAUUGGUCAAUGGGCGCAAGCCUGAACCAGCCAUCCCGCGUGCAGGAUGACGGCCCUAUGGGUUGUAAACUGCUUUUGUACAGGAAGAAAAAUCCCUACGUGUAGGGACCUGCCGGUACUGUACGAAUAAGCAUCGGCUAACUCCGUGCCAGCAGCCGCGGUAAUACGGAGGAUGCAAGCGUUAUCCGGAUUCAUUGGGUUUAAAGGGUGCGUAGGCGGCUCUUUAAGUCAGUGGUGAAAUCCUGCCGCUUAACGGUAGAAUUGCCAUUGAUACUGAAGAGCUUGAGUACAGUUGAGGUAAGCGGAAUGUGUAGUGUAGCGGUGAAAUGCUUAGAUAUUACACAGAACACCAAUUGCGAAGGCAGCUUACUAAACUGUCACUGACGCUGAUGCACGAAAGCGUGGGGAGCGAACAGGAUUAGAUACCCUGGUAGUCCACGCCGUAAACGAUGAUCACUCGCUGUAUGCGAUACACAGUAUGCGGCCAAGCGAAAGCA
rnacentral:rRNA from 1 species